rnacentral:rRNA from 1 species
AACAUGGCCUUUUGAUUAUAAUUUAAGGUCUGGCCUGCCCUAUGAGGAUUUAAAUGGCUGCGGUAAUUUGACCGUGCAAAGGUAGCAUAAUCAUUAGUUUUUUAAUUGAAAGCUGGAAUGAAAGGUUUGAUGAGAAAAUAGCUGUCUCUAUUUAAAUUUAUUAGAAUUUUAUUUUUAAGUAAAAAAGCUUAAAUAUUGAUAGAAGACGAGAAGACCCUAUAGAGUUUUAUUAAUUUUAGUAAAAAUUUUUUGUUUAGAAAAAUAUAAAUGAUUUUUAAUUAGAAUUAAUUUGGUUGGGGAGAUUAAAAAAUUUAAGAAACUUUUUUUUAAAUUUAAACAUUUAUUUAUGAGUAAGUGAUCCUAUGUUUUAGAUUAUAAGAUUAAAUUACCUUAGGGAUAACAGCGUAAUCUUUUUAAAGAGUUCAAAUCGAAAAAAGGGGUUGCGACCUCGAUGUUGGAUUAAAAUUAAAUUUUGGUGUAGAAGCUAAAAAGUUUAGGUCUGUUCGACCUUUAAAAUUUUACUUGAUC